CACGGAGUUAGCCGGAGCUUAUUCUCCCGGUACUGUCAUUAUCAUCCCGGGUAAAAGAGCUUUACAACCCUAAGGCCUUCAUCACUCACGCGGCAUUGCUGGAUCAGGCUUUCGCCCAUUGUCCAAUAUUCCCCACUGCUGCCUCCCGUAGGAGUCUGGGCCGUGUCUCAGUCCCAGUAUGGCUGAUCAUCCUCUCAGACCAGCUACGGAUCGUCGCCUUGGUAGGCCUUUACCCCACCAACUAGCUAAUCCGACGCGGGCUCAUCCUCUGGCGAUAAAUCUUUGGACUUACGUCAUCAUCCGGUAUUAGCUGUCGUUUCCAACAGUUAUCCCAGACCCAAAGGGCAGAUUCCCACGCGUUACGCACCCGUGCGCCACUAUGCCCGAAAGCAUCGUUCGACUUGCAUGUGUUAGGCAUGCCGCCAGCGUUCGUCUGAGCCAGGAUCAAACUCU
rnacentral:rRNA from 1 species